AAUAUCCAUGAAGGAAUCUGCCCAUUGUAAUAACUGGUUUUAUUAUUUGCUCUCUGGAUGCAUCUGUGAUGUGGUUCUUGAAGAAGCAACUAGAAGUUGUGAUGAUUCUAAAGAAAGGACUCUUAAGGCCUUCAUGCUUCUCUUAUCUCAAAGGAGAACUUGUGAUGCACGGCAUGCUCACAGUUCUUGUUAAAAGGUGCAGUGGUCAUCUGGGGCAUGUUUGAUGGUUCCAGUUCAUCUUUACAGAUCAAACAAAAGACUGUCAUGUGGCACAAAAGAGCUGCAAGGGCAUCGGUCAUUAUUACUCAAGCAGGACCACUCGUAGUAGAAUAACGACAAAAUGUUUGUGGUUUUUGCAUGUGUUUGUGGACUUUUUGCUAUCUUUCCCUUAAUUAUUGCAGUGGCUUUUCCUGUCAUAUUAUUACCAUAAACCAUUCUGAAAACUGUAGUCUAGCGAUCACAAGUUGGGUUAUGUUAUCUUUUCUUCUCACCAUAUUGUUCUUCCCAUUCUAAUCUUGCUUCAUAUUGGAUUUUUUACAUUGUUGUCUCCUGGUCUUUUCCAUUUGGAAGAUGAUGAUGCAUCACAGGAUUGUUAAGUCUGUUGUUUUGUAAUCCCAAUGUGUUAAAUGCUCAAUCAUUAUGCAGUGCACAGGUAGUAUAUACCAAUCGCUUCAGUUCCAGAUUAUGAUAUCUGUGCUCGCAGGCAACACUGACGACUCACAGGUAGAGUGAUGUUUCCACUCGGACAUGACUUUGGCUGGUAGCCAGUUUUGUCCAAACUUGAGGCUCCAUGCCCGAUUUAUGUAUUUAUUUCAUUUAUCGGUUUUUUUAUUCGAACUCCCCAUACUCAAUGAACUUUUUGCUAGUUUAAAGAAAGUGUGUGGUUUAGAGGGAGGAGCUCAAGUUAGGGUGUCGAAGUGCCACCGUCCGUCCCCCCAUGGCUUUUGGUACUUGCAGCUUGUUGUAUUCAAGUAUCUAGCAAAAGGGACGCAUGCCCAAGGAUUCUUUCUUCCUCUGGUAGCCACUUCACGUAAGCGCAUGUGUUUGUUGGCAGCUCAACGACUGUAGCCCAUCAGAAAGGUUUGAUCCAAAGCGAGGUCAUCAUCAUCUUCUUGACAUGAUGGUGCAACUCAUUUUGGAAGGAGGACCGCAGAAGGAGGGCUUGCUGCUGUGUCACUGUCUUCCCUUAAACUGAUAAAAGAAGCCAAAAUCCAACAGCGAGGAGUCGAGUAAGAUCUGAAGCUCAAGGCUGAGGAGUGAGAGAUGGAAUCCCCUCCCUCUGAGCCGCCACCCUCGCCGCCCGCUGUCGAUCUCUCCCUCACCCUCGCCGCGGCCUCGUCGUCGCCGCCGUCCUCCGGCCACGACGCGAGGGACGUCAGGCUCUUUCCCUGCCUCUUCUGCAACAGGAAGUUCCUCAAGUCUCAGGCCCUCGGCGGACACCAGAAUGCCCACAAGAAAGAGCGAGGUAGUAGCUGGAAUCCCCACCUCUAUCUCCCACCACCACCACCACCACCACCUACCACACACUCCUUUCCCAUCGCUUCCCACUCAUGCAAGCCUGUCCUCCACCGUUCCGGCGACUGCGGAGCCCCUCGCCUGCUGGCUGACCGGCCCUUCCUCAUCCUCAACUGGCAGAGGGCUUCACACCCCCAUCAGGCACUCUCACCAGACCUCGGUUCCGUCAAUUCCAUUGCUGCUGCUGCUGCUCCACUUCCAUCCACUGGUGACGACAGGACCAUUAUCGAUCUCUCCUUGAGGCUCUAAGUCUCAGUAGAAUGUGUUUGCUGCAGAGUAGUUCGAUUUUUCUUCCUUCUUUCUUUCAAUCUCUUCCCGAUAGCUCUGCUGCCGCCCGCAGUCCGCGGGUUGCAUGGUGGAGCAGACCGUGCUUGACAUGGCUACAAGCAUUUGUAUUUGGCGGGUGGUGGGAUGUCGAUAUAACGUGGAGGUGUACGCUUUGUAGGGAACGUUACAUCAUGUUCCCUCCCACUCGAAGUUAUUUGAUCAUCAUCCUUUUUCCGAAUAGUUCAGCCCAUCGAUCGGCCUGCAAGAUUCGUGUGGAUGUAUACGAGCAGAUGUGUCUCUCAGCUUUCAUUCGACUAUUGAAGAAAGAAGAAAGUCCUUACGUAACUUCAUUUAGGAAUCUCAUGGUGAUCGCCGGAAUCUACUUCAGGUAGGAAGCUGAUAUCCGGAAAUAAAUCUGACCCCAAUGAGAGGCUGCUGAUACGACUCCCAAACUAAGGAUCGACAUUCCCUCAAGAGAACUUCCGACAGUCCCAACAGUUGAACUCUCAUAACACGACACCUCUCUCUCUCUCUAACUUUGGACUUAUUGAGGUGAGUUUUGAUGUGAGUGUCGGAGAAGGAUCUCGUCAAACACAUUUCGUCAUUUCACCCUCGCGGAUCGUUUUUGAGAGAAUCUACCUUCCUUCUGUGGGAAAAUGGAUCAAAUCGAGCCUUGUCUCGCACUUUGGACAGAAGACCUCAAGCAGACCCGAAAUCUUUUGCUGUAUCAGUUCAUGAAGUCGACUUAGUUCUCCGGGACAGCCCAUCUUCCCCUCUGUCAGUUCUUAGUGGCCCCAAAAGAAAGAAAGAGAGAGAGAGAGAGAGAUGGCUAUCAUGAUGCUUCUUUAGUUACCUACAAGACUUGGAGAAGGAACACAUGGGAAUAGGAGUUUUGAUCUCCUGUGCAAGCUAAGGUGUAUACAUUGGAGGAGUCGCAUCAGCGCAGUAAAAAGAGAGGAAGCUUCGGAUGUGGUGGCUGUGGAUGAUAUCUUAAUUACUGGGGAGAGAUUCUCAUGUCUCUUUCACACAGUUUCAAUUCCACCUUGUGUUUCUCUACUGCCAAACCUCUAUUUUCAGAUCAGUGAUGUCCAAAACUAUAGAACUUAGACUUCAAUUCAUUCUUUUGCUGGGCAUGAAAUUUUUGAUCCUAUAACUGCGUAUAUAAUGCGCUAAUUGAGAUUGCCUCCUAUAGCCUCAAAGCAUUGCAAAGUCGUACAAAGUGCAAACUUCUAUUCACCAAAACUUAAUCCAAUCACCAUGACUUACUGAUGAUGAUCACUUACCAGUCUGCAACCAAAACCUUACGGAACUGUUCAUCUGUCUCAGCUUUUGCCCCUAACACAAAUGUCGGCAAGCUUUUCGGCAUUCUUUAGCCCCUAAUCAUUGUCCUUCUACCAAACAUUACCCUCUGUAUCAAGCUUUCUCUCCUGCAUCAUUGAUCUUUAAUCAUUGAGUCUCCAAAUCUCCCCCCUUCUGAUGCAUGUCAUGUGUUGUUUCUCAGUGGAUCAUCCUGUCGUGUCUUCGACCUGUCGAUCGUACUUUUUUGUCACAGCAGCAGAUGGGAGGAACCAGUGUGGUGGAUGCAGGGGAAAAAGCCUGAACACAAUGAAUCCACGAUAACUCACGACAGGAUCUAACAAUCUGUUCUUGUUGAACGAGGCCGGCAAUCACCUCAGGAGCAUCAUAACCUCGAGGCAUGCAAGGAGAUGGCUGUCUGCCUCAGUCACUAUGUGACUUCGGGUGAUCUCUCUCGGUGAAGUGCACCCACUCGAUGCCA